UGCAGUCGAGCGGCAGCGCGAGAGAGCUUGCUCUCUUGGCGGCGAGUGGCGGACGGGUGAGUAAUAUGUCGGAACGGGCCCAGUAACGGGGGAUAACUACUCGAAAGAGUGGCUAAUACCGCAUACGCCCUACGGGGGAAGGGGGGGGAUCGCAAGACCUCUCACUAUUGGAGCGGUCGAUAUCGGAUUAGCUAGUUGGUGGGGUAAAGGCUCACCAAGGCAACGAUCCGUAGCUGGUUUGAGAGGACGACCAGCCACACUGGGACUGAGACACGGCCCAGACUCCUACGGGAGGCAGCAGAGGGGAAUUUUGGACAAUGGGGGAAACCCUGAUCCAGCCAUCCCGCGUGUAUGAUGAAGGCCUUCGGGUUGUAAAGUACUUUUGGCAGAGAAGAAAAGGUAUCCCCUAAUACGGGAUACUGCUGACGGUAUCUGCAGAAUAAGCACCGGCUAACUACGUGCCAGCAGCCGCGGUAAUACGUAGGGUGCAAGCGUUAAUCGGAAUUACUGGGCGUAAAGCGUGUGUAGGCGGUUCGGAAAGAAAGAUGUGAAAUCCCAGGGCUCAACCUUGGAACUGCAUUUUUAACUGCCGAGCUAGAGUAUGUCUGAGGGGGGUAGAAUUCCACGUGUAGCAGUGAAAUGCGUAGAUAUGUGGAGAGAAUACCGAUGAACGAACAGCAGCCCCACUGCGACUAAUUCUGUGACUGCUCAGUGCACGCUGAGCGUGCGAGAGCAGAAGCAGGGAUUUAGACUAGCGCAUUGAG
rnacentral:rRNA from 1 species